rnacentral:tRNA from 3 species
GGGCGACUAGCUCAGUUGGCUAGAGCAUCUCGUUUACACCGAGAGGGUCAGGGGUUCGAGUCCCUUGUCGCCCACCA